GACGAACGCUGGCGGCGUGCCUAAUACAUGCAAGUCGAACGCAGUGGGGACGGGUGAGUAACACGUGGGUAACCUCCCAUCAGAGGGGAUAACACUUGGAAACAGGUGCUAAACCGAUACUGAUGGAUGGACCCGCGGUGCAUUAGCUAGUUGGUGAGGUAACGGCUCACCAAGGCCACGAUGCAUAGCCGACCUGAGAGGGGGAGCGGCCACACUGGGACUGAGAGAAGGCCCAGACUCCUACGGGUGGCAGCAGUAGAGAAUCGUAGGCAAUGGACGAAAGUCUGACCGAGCAACGCAGCGUGAGUGAAGAAGGUUUGCGGAUCGUAAAACUCUGUUGUUAGAGAAGCGGUAUCUAACCAGAAAGCCACGGCUAACUACGUGCCAGAAGACGCGGUAAUUC
rnacentral:rRNA from 1 species